CUACGGGUGGCUGCAGUGGGGGAUAUUGCACAAUGGAGGAAACUCUGAUGCAGCGACGCCGCGUGAGUGAUGAAGUAUUUCGGUAUGUAAAGCUCUAUCAGCAGGGAAGAAAGGCUCCGUAUGGAGAGAUGACGGUACCUGAGUAAGAAGCCCCGGCUAACUACGUGCCAGCAGCCGCGGUAAUACGUAGGGGGCGAGCGUUAUCCGGAUUUACUGGGUGUAAGGGAGCGCAGACGGAUUUGCAAGUCUGAUGUGAAAGCCCGGGGCUCACCCCCGGGACUGCAUUGGAAACUGUAGAUCUGGAGUAUUGGAAGGGCAAGCGGAAUUCCUGGUGUAGCGGUGAAAUGCGUAGAUAUCAGGAGGAACACCGGUGGCGAAGGCGGCUUGCUGGACAAUAACUGACGUUGAGGCUCGAAAGCGUGGGGAGCAAACAGGAUUAGAUACCCCCGUAGUC
rnacentral:rRNA from 1 species